AGUGAACGCUGGCGGUAGGCCUAACACAUGCAAGUCGAACGGCAGCACAGUAAGAGCUUGCUCUUACGGGUGGCGAGUGGCGGACGGGUGAGGAAUACAUCGGAAUCUACUUUUUCGUGGGGGAUAACGUAGGGAAACUUACGCUAAUACCGCAUACGACCUACGGGUGAAAGCAGGGGAUCUUCGGACCUUGCGCGAUUGAAUGAGCCGAUGUCGGAUUAGCUAGUUGGCGGGGUAAAGGCCCACCAAGGCGGCGAUCCGUAGCUGGUCUGAGAGGAUGAUCAGCCACACUGGAACUGAGACACGGCCCAGACUCCUACGGGAGGAAGCAGUGGGGAAUAUUGGACAAUGGGCGCAAGCCUGAUCCAGCCAUACCGCGUGGGUGAAGAAGGCCUUCGGGUUGUAAAGCCCUUUUGUUGGGAAAGAAAAGCAGCAGGUUAAUACCCCGCUGUUCUGACGGUACCCAAAGAAUAAGCACCGGCUAACUUCGUG
rnacentral:rRNA from 1 species